UGCUCUCUGGUGACAUGGAAGUGGGU
rnacentral:piRNA from 1 species